AACUUUCAACACCGGAUCUCUGGGCUCUCGCAUCGAUGAAGACGCAGCGAAAUCGAUAAGUAAUGUGGAUUGCAGAAUUCAGUGAAUCAUCGAAUCUUUGAACGCACCUUGCGCCCUCUGGUAUUCCGGAGGGCAUGCCUGUUUGAGUGUCA
rnacentral:rRNA from 1 species